ACUCCUACGGGAGGCAGCAGUAGGGAAUCUUCCACAAUGGACGAAAGUCUGAUGGAGCAACGCCGCGUGAGUGAAGAAGGGUUUCGGCUCGUAAAACUCUGUUGUUAAAAGAAGAACAUAUCUGAGAGUAACUGUUCAGGUAUUGACGGUAUUUAACCAGAAAGCCACGGCUAACUACGUGCCAGCAGCCGCGGUAAUACGUAGGUGGCAAGCGUUGUCCGGAUUUAUUGGGCGUAAAGCGAGCGCAGGCGGUUUUUAAGUCUGAUGUGAAAGCCUUCGGCUCAACCGAAGAAGUGCAUCGGAAACUGGGAAACUUGAGUGCAGAAGAGGACAGUGGAACUCCAUGUGUAGCGGUGGAAUGCGUAGAUAUAUGGAAGAACACCAGUGGCGAAGGCGGCUACCUGGUCUGCAACUGACGCUGAGACUCGAAAGCAUGGGUAGCGAACAGGAUUAGAUACCCUGGUAGCACGAUG
rnacentral:rRNA from 1 species